GCUCAGGAUGAACGCUAGCUACAGGCUUAACACAUGCAAGUCGAGGGGUAGCAGGGUAGCAAUACCGCUGACGACCGGCGCACGGGUGAGUAACACGUAUCCAACCUUCCCAUAACUCGGAGAUAGCCUUUCGAAAGAAAGAUUAAUACCCGAUAGUACUUUUUCAAGGCAUCUUGAGAAAGUUAAAGAUUUAUUGGUUAUGGAUGGGGAUGCGUUCCAUUAGAUAGUUGGUGAGGUAACGGCUCACCAAGUCUUCGAUGGAUAGGGGUUCUGAGAGGAAGGUCCCCCACAUUGGUACUGAGACACGGACCAAACUCCUACGGGAGGCAGCAGUGAGGAAUAUUGGUCAAUGGGCGAGAGCCUGAACCAGCCAAGUAGCGUGA
rnacentral:rRNA from 1 species